rnacentral:rRNA from 1 species
AUUGAACGCUGGCGGCAUGCUUUACACAUGCAAGUCGGACGAGUGGCGAACGGGUGAGUAACGCAUCGGAACGUACCGAGUACUGGGGGAUAACUGUCCGAAAGGACAGCUAAUACCGCAUAUUAUUCGAGCGGCCGUUGUCUGAUUAGCUGGUUGGCGGGGUAAAGGCCCACCAGGGCGACGAUCAGUAGCGGGUCUGAGAGGAGGAUCGGCCACACGGGGACGGAGACACGGUCCAGACGCCUACGGGAGGCAGCAGUGGGGAAUAGUGCACAAUGGGGGCAAGCCUGAUGCAGCCAGGCCGCGUGUGUGAAGAAGGCGUUCGGGUUGUAAAGCACUUUCAGCGGGGAGGCGUUACCCGCAGAAGAAGCACCGGCUAACUCCGUGCCAGCAGCCGCGGUAAUUC